rnacentral:snRNA from 1 species
AUACCUUUCUCGGCCUCUUGGCUAAGAUCAAGUGUAGUAUCUGUUCUUAUCAGUUUAAUAUCUGAUAUGUGGAUCACUGAUUCGCUUGAUAUUAAAUUAAUGUUUUGAAGGGGGAAUGCCUGCAACAAUAGCAUGGUGUUGGCGAAAAUUGCUAUUUAGGUCUUCAAGCGUUGGCCUUGCCUUGCACUAUAGAACGGUGUUGGCGCACCCUAC